rnacentral:ncRNA from 2 species
GACCCAUCCAGAGCGGCUGAGAGAUCUGGCUCCACGACGCCGCAGCAACCACCCAUGACAGGGACGGUGCUACCGCCAGGAUCGAUGGAAA